rnacentral:rRNA from 1 species
AUUGAACGCUGGCGGCAGGCCUAACACAUGCAAGUCGAACGAGUGGCGGACGGGUGAGUAAUGUCUGGGAAACUGCCCGAUGGAGGGGGAUAACUACUGGAAACGGUAGCUAAUACCGAAUAACAUCGGAUGUGCCCAGUUGGGAUUAGCUAGUAGGUGGGGUAACGGCUCACCUAGGCGACGAUCCCUAGCUGAUCUGAGAGGAUGACCAGCCACACUUGAACUGAGACACGGUCCAGACUCCUACGGGAGGCAGCAGUGGGGAAUAUUGCACAAUGGGCGCAAGCCUGAUGCAGCCAUGCCGCGUGUAUGAAGAAGGCCUUCGGGUUGUAAAGUACUUUCAGCGAGGAGGCGUUACUCGCAGAAGAAGCACCGGCUAACUCCGUGCCAGCAGCCGCGGUAAUAC